rnacentral:rRNA from 1 species
AGUGAACGCUGGCGGUAGGCCUAACACAUGCAAGUCGAACGGCAGCACAGGAGAGCUUGCUCUCUGGGUGGCGAGUGGCGGACGGGUGAGGAAUACAUCGGAAUCUACCUUUUCGUGGGGGAUAACGUAGGGAAACUUACGCUAAUACCGCAUACGACCUACGGGUGAAAGUGGGGGACCGCAAGGCCUCACGCGAUUAGAUGAGCCGAAGUCCGAUUAGCUAGUUGGCGGGGUAAUGGCCCACCAAGGCGACGAUCGGUAGCUGGUCUGAGGGGAUGAUCAGCCACACUGGAACUGAGACACGGUCCAGACUCCUACGGGAGGCAGCAGUGGGGAAUAUUGGACAAUGGGCGCAAGCCUGAUCCAGCCAUACCGCGUGGGUGAAGAAGGCCUUCGGGUUGUAAAGCCCUUUUGUUGGGAAAGAAAUCCUGUCGAUUAAUACUCGGUGGGGAUGACGGUACCCAAAGAAUAAGCACCGGCUAACUUCGUGCCAGCCGCCGCAGUAACAC